CCCGGACCUUGUACACACCGCCCGUCAAACAAUGGGAAUCAGCGAGACCUGAAGAUCGUGACCGUCAAAGGAGCGAUUUAGGGUAAAGCUGGUGACUGGUGUU
rnacentral:rRNA from 1 species